rnacentral:lncRNA from 1 species
CGAGGAACACCGGGCCUGGGCGAUGACGUCGCGGGUCGGUUCGGCUGGGAGGACCUGGGCGUGGAGGGGCCCUGGCGCUGGUGGGUGAUGCGCCGAUGGCGAGGCAGAGGCUUAGGCCUGGGCAACGGCGAGGCAGAGGCUUAGGCCUGGGCGGCGGCGAGGCUCGAUGCAGAAGGAGCGGCGCCGACGGGGCCUCGGGGCGGCGGGUGUG